CUGGGAGUGUGAAUGUGUGGGGCAGCAUAGAGAGAGUUGGGUAAUGGGGCUGAGAUGUGUAGGGCAGUACAGAGGGCACCGCGUUCCCAGUGGGGCUGAAGCCCAUAGAGUGCACUGUGGGGCGUUGGCUUCCCGGUGGGGCUGAGACCCAUAGGGCAGGUUGUAGGGCAUUGGGUUCCAGUGGGGCUGGGACCCAUAGGGUGGCCUGUGGGGCGUUGGGUUCCCUGUGGGGCUGUCGGACUCAUAGGACGGGACAGAG
rnacentral:lncRNA from 1 species